rnacentral:rRNA from 1 species
AUUGAACGCUGGCGGCAUGCCUUACACAUGCAAGUCGAACGAGUGGCGAACGGGUGAGUAAUAUAUCGGAACGUACCGAGUAGAGGGGGAUAACUAAUCGAAAGAUUAGCUAAUACCGCAUAGUAUUCGAGCGGCCGAUAUCGGAUUAUGUAGUGGGUGGGGUAAAGGCCCACCAAGGCGACGAUCAGUAGCGGGUCUGAGAGGAUGCCCAGCCACACUGGGACUGAGACACGGCCCAGACUCCUACGGGAGGCAGCAGUGGGGAAUUUUGGACAAUGGGGGAAAGCCUGCUCCAGCCAUGCCGCGUGUCUGAAGAAGGCCUUCGGGUUGUAAAGUACUUUUGUCAGGGAAGCGGUACCUGAAGAAUAAGCACCGGCUAACUACGUGCCAGCAGCCGCGGUAAUUC